UUUAUCGAUGUUGAUUGUGUUCGAUCUUAGGGCUGAUUGUGUAUGAUUGCUUGUAAUGCGGUUGUUUCUAUUUGAAAAUACUUCGUCUUUGAACAUGAGUAUUGAGGAAUUAGAGAGAGGACGAGCGAUUCGGUAGACUAAUGGAGUGAAUAGAUAUCGGCAAUGCCUUUCGUUCUCCAGAUGAUUUUUGAAACCUUGCGUGAUGGAUUUGCAUUGAUGAAGCUGAUCGAGAGAAUACAAGAUGGAGGAAUGGUUUGACAAUUUGAAGGCUAAUGCUAGACUUCCGGACAAAAUUUGGUUCAUUUUCACAUUUAAGCCUUCAAUGAACAGAGAAAUAGCAUAAUGGAAUCUGACCAAUUAGAUGGGAACUGGCCAACUGAUGGAAGUGGUAACAAGCAUUUAGUUUAACUACAUCCAACAAAAUACAGUAAAGAACUUGAUCGCAGAUUCUCCUCCGGGUGCUCCCUUUGGAGGCAGCCUUGAUAUUAGAAAACUCUUACAGAUGUGCAAUGGCAG